rnacentral:rRNA from 1 species
UACGGAGGGUGCAAGCGUUGUCCGGAUUUAUUGGGUUUAAAGGGUGCGUAGGUGGUCUUAUAAGUCAGUGGUGAAAGCCCGCAGCUCAACUGCGGAAUUGCCAUUGAUACUGUAAGACUUGAGUACAGACGAGGUAGGCGGAAUUUAUGGUGUAGCGGUGAAAUGCAUAGAUACCAUAAAGAACACCUAUAGCGAAGGCAGCUUACUAGACUGUAACUGACACUGAGGCACGAAAGCGUGGGGAGCGAACAGG